rnacentral:tRNA from 1 species
GUGACUAUAGCUCAGUUGGUUAGAGCGUCGGAUUGUGGCUCCGAAGGCCGUGGGUUCAAAUCCCACUAGUCACC